GCUGGGCGUGGUGGUGCGUGCCUGUGAUCCCAGCUACUUGGGAGGCUGAGGCAGGAGAAUCGCUUGAACCAGGCAGUUGGAGGUUGCAGUGAGCUGCGAUCACACCACUGCACUCCAGCCUGGUGACAAAGUGAGACUCCGUCUCAA
rnacentral:SRP_RNA from 1 species